GGGAACAUAAGGGCACAACAAGAUCAAACGCUGACAUCAGGAUAGCAGCGAGAGAGAGGCAUUUAUUUGCACAGUGCCAAGCAAGGAUGAUACGACAGCUAAUGCUUAAAUUCUGACCUCUCCAGUGGCUUGCAGGAUUCUUGCAGGUGGCUGGUUCCAGAUGGAGUCCAUGACCAGAAUGAGAACUUCAUGCCUGCUCUUUCCCAAUUGGUUAUUUCUGAAUAAUGCUUUUAAAUCAAUCAAAUGUUGCCUUUUUCAAGGCUACCUACAGCCCACACCUCCCCAGUUCUGAGCCUAUAAAAACCUCACACUCAGCCACAUGGGGAUACUACCUGCCUUUGGGUGGGGACAAUCCACCUUCAGGUUGGGGACUACCCACUUCUGGUCCAUCUCUGCUGAGAGCUAUUCUGUCACUCAAUAAAAC
rnacentral:lncRNA from 1 species